CUUCAACUGUUACUACGGAUAGCAUGCACAAUCGUUUAAAAACUGAUGCGCCUGUAUAUUAUAGACCGUAUAAAUUAUCAUUUAAAUAAAAACUAAAAAGCCGGGUGUAACAUAUCGCCAAUUAUUACGGCAUGUUCAAUCUAAGGGAAAAUUGGAUCCCGGAAUGCAUGGCUCUUAUAAGGUGACGAGACUUCUUGAGAGUGGACGUGAUGAGUUACAGCUUGUGGCUGGGGACUAUGGUAAGCUGACUUAUGCUGCUGCUCAGUAUAUGGUGCCUUGGAGAGGAGAAUGGACACCUGACGAAUGUGCUGCAUUCUUUGCGACUUCAAGGAAGUUCAUAAACCUUCAUGUCGAAGUGGGCAGGUUCAAUGCAGAAAAUGCAAGAUUGGAUUAUACAAGGGUUUAACGAC